GACAAUGGGCGGGAGCCUGAUCCAGCCAUGCCGCGUGCAGGAUGACGGCCCUAUGGGUUGUAAACUGCUUUUAUACGGGAAGAAACGCACCUACGUGUAGGUGUCUGACGGUACCGUAAGAAUAAGGACCGGCUAACUCCGUGCCAGCAGCCGCGGUAAUACGGAGGGUCCGAGCGUUAUCCGGAAUCAUUGGGUUUAAAGGGUCCGUAGGCGGGCAUGUAAGUCAGGGGUGAAAGUUUGUGGCUCAACCAUAAAAUUGCCUUUGAUACUGCAUGUCUUGAGUCAUGGUGGGGUUGCCGGAACAUGUGGUGUAGCGGUGAAAUGCAUAGAUAUCACAUAGAACACCGAUCGCGAAGGCAGGUGACCAACCAUGUACUGACGCUGAUGGACGAAAGCGUGGGUAGCGAACUGGAUUAGAUACCCCGGUAGUCCACGCCGUAAACGAUGGAUACUAGCUGUGGGGACUUCGGUCUCCGUGGCCAAGCGAAAGUGAUAAGUAUCCCACCUGGGGAGUACGUUCGCAAGAAUGAAACUCAAAGGAAUUGACGGGG
rnacentral:rRNA from 1 species